rnacentral:rRNA from 1 species
CAGCAGCCGCGGUAAUACGAAGGUCCCGAGCGUUGUUCGGAAUCACUGGGCGUAAAGGGAGCGUAGGCGGCGUGGUAAGUCAGAUGUGAAAUCCCGGGGCUCAACCCCGGAACUGCAUCCGAUACUGCCAUGCUAGAGGAUUGGAGAGGUAGCUGGAAUUCUUGGUGUAGCAGUGAAAUGCGUGGAGAUCAAGAGGAACACUCGUGGCGAAAGCGAGCUACUGGACAAUAACUGACGCUGAGGCUCGAAGGCCAGGGUAGCGAAAGGGAUUAGAUACCCCGGUAGUCCCUGUCUCUUAUAA